AGGCUUGUUUCGGUGCCAAACUGUACGAGCAAAAAUGAGCUCCUGGCCUUUUUUUCCUUCGUCUUCAUCUUCACGCUGCCCCUCUGCUUCAUCCCUGCUUGCUUCCCCACAGCCUGCCGACGGGAGCCGGGAAUGCUGCUCUUGCAGCCUGGGAAGAGGAGGCUGGGCUGCACCUCCGGCCCCUCUCCUCCCUGUCUGGCACCGGGUGUUUCGGCAGAGAGAACGGACUCGCCCGUGAUUAAUUUAUCCUCGUGAAAAAAAUGUGUCUGACUCCGACUAAUAGCUGUUUUUAAGGGUGUUGUGUAACUUGGCUCUGGAAGGGAGACCGCCGGCGCUGUCUCGGCGAUAUAAGGUGUUCCUGGAGGUCUUGUUUACACCGGAGCGAUAAGACAAGUCUUCGACGUGUUUUAAUGUGCUAAUUGGCGGUUAUUACGGCCCUUUUUAUUUACGAUUAUACUACAAAUGUAAUGCUCCGUCUCAUUUUACUCUGCACGAAGAGCUUUGAAAGGAUGAUAAUUACCUCUCAUGUAAACCUAUACUUAUAUAGAAAAAAUGACGUGUGAAAUGAAAGGCCUGAAGAAACGGCAUAAUCUGUGUUUGCUUUGCGUAGACAUGCAGGAUACGCGCCCGCUCCGCUCCUGGAUGUAUGCAGUAUUUACACUGGAGCAGCUCGUUAGCGCCGCAGACGCGCUGCCGCGUUCGGGCACCGAAGGCAGCGUGAGGGGACCCGCGUCCCUGCCCCCUCCCUGCUGUUUGCUUAAUAUUAAGGCAGCCCUCUGCAUGUAAAUGCUGGCUGGGAGGGGAUGAAUAAUUCAUCGCCGGCACACGGAGCAAACGGAUUUUGCCUCGUUUUGCCACCCGAUUGAAAUCCUGCGUGCAAAGGGCAUCACCGCCUGCCCCGGAGCCCGUCGCAGCCUCCGGAGGAGAGCUGAGAUGUCUGGAGAGUGUUGCCUCCCUCUCUUAUUCCCCACGGGAUUAGGGCUCCGAAGCUGUCGGGUUUGGAGGGUUUGCUGGCAAUGGCUUGCGCUGCUCCACGCUCAAGAUUGCCUUUGCAUCUGUUCAUCUCGUUAUAGGGAGUGCGUCGUGCCGCAGAGUGAAAAAUUAGCCACGGAUUUUUUUUUAAAAAAAGUACAACUCCAAGGCUAUAAAAGCACGGCGUUGGCAAGGAGCGAAGGAGGGUACUGAAGCAUCCGGGUACGUUGCGACUCCCUCGGCAGCGCAUCGUUUCCCCGUGCCUGCAGGAAAACUGCAUCAGCUCCCAGAGCUGGCGAGGGAACUCGUUGCUGCAGCUCUUCCCUCUUGCUGCCUUUUCUGUUUCUUUUCCCCUUUUUUUCAUCUCCAAGGCCUGAGGGCGAUAAUUAUUUUUUGACUGGAACAAUAAGCCAAAGCCCUGCGACUGGCAGGGAUAAGUUCGGGUUGUUAUUUAUUUUAAAUGACUAAGCUGAUUUGCUUAAUGCUCAUCUCUCAGCCAGGGAUGCAGAAGGGGCAGCUCCGCUCCACCUCUCGCUUUGCUGCUGUGGAGGAAAGGUAAAUAUUUCCUUGGGCAGAAAGUUUCUCCAAGCCUUGUGAGGUAUGGCGGCCGCCACCUUCCAGCGCGGGGCGAACCUGCGGCCGGCUCGGAUGUGCAAAGUCAAUUCCAUAGGGACUCCGGCCCCACCGCUGUCACCGCUACCCCGGAGGUCCUUCUGAGAGCACGGCACAGCAUGAAAGCCUCAAGGGACAGGAGUGAUCCCGGACAGAGACAGCCCUGAGCUCGGGGCUCCCGAUGGCACCUUCGUCUUCCCCUGGGAGUCCUGAUGGAGAAGCAGAAGGAUGAGACGGGCUGUGCUGGGUCCUCUCUGUCCCCGGUGCCAGGGUGCGAGCACCCCGCGGGGGAGUGAGGUCGGACCCCCGGCACCCAAAGCCUGUCUCUGGCAAUGCAGCCAGCAAGGGCACGUCUCCCCCAGGUUGCGUCAAGCGUGAAAUUCUAGCUCAAUCGGAAUAUUUUGUUCCUUCUCUUUUUGAAGUUUGCCAGAAAACUUGCUAAGGAGGCUAAUACGGAGGGUUAAGCCUUUUCAGAGCAAAGCCAGCUGACCCAGUUAAGUCACCUGUCCCCCGGCAUAACAGGAUAUCUGCUAAACCCUUCAGCGCUGCCGAGGAACCGCUGCAAAUCCUCCCUGACGGUGCGCUGCAUCGCACCAGGGACGGGGGUAACGGGGCAAAGCAUCCCGCAGGCUCCGUGCACGGCCGCAUCCCUCCCUGCAGGGUUUAUUUUGGCCCCGGGAAGGAUUGGGAUCAUCCCUUUAUCCUCAGGCUCGCCCAGAGCGCUGGAAAGGACUUGCCUUAUGGUGGAUGCAGCUCUGCUCUGCUGUCACUCCGCUGCUCGCUUGCCUCUUUUGUUUUUACUUUAUUUUCCCAAAGCGUUCGCAAAUAAGCCGGUCUCUGCUUUACAACCCUGGCAGGCAACAGCUUUGCCGCACGGCUGGCUGCUGCGGCUCUGUGGGACCUCCCAUGCUUGCACCCGCGUCCAGCGGACGCUUCGAGGGCGCUUAACAAAAACUCAACCGAGCCGCUUCUAGCGUUGGAGCGUGUCGCUGGGCUGCUCUUGGGGUGCUGCAGCGGAGCGGCCUCGCGCAGAAAGGGCUCUACAGCCGCCGCGGGCUCGCCGAGCAUCCCUUCGGCAUGCGUGCUGCCAGUGCUCUGCAUCCUGCCGGCAGCCCGAGGAAGAUGCUGACAAACCACGAGUGGACGUUUUACAUGUACGACUGGGCCAGGAAGCACCUCCGGUACGAGCUGGCACAAUCCUCCCAAAUAUUUGCGUUGCAACAGAUGUUACUUUAUACACCGUCUUUCCCUUAAGUCUGUCAUUAUUACUGAGAGGCAGAGAUGCCAGGUGGGACUCUUACUACCAAAAUCAGGACUUGUUCAGUUGCUUUGAUGACAUCGAUUAGCUUCAGGCUGCAAGUGCCAAGAUUUCUCCAAUUACAGCUGGUAAAUCUCUCAGUCUACAAUAAUCUCAUUUGAAGUGGUUCAAAUUAGUUCAAUUUCUUUUGUAUGGAGACAGACCUCCAUAUACACCUAUAUACGUGUGGUAGAAAACUGCUUGCUGCACUGUGAGUUUGGCCUACAAAGUCUGUGUUUACUUAUGCAGUAAGUUUUCUGAAAAAAAAUCUCUUUUCUGCUGAUGUCUGUGUGAGGAUCGAGACCCCAGCAAGUCGCCAGCCCAGGGAGCUUUCUGCAAGAAGAGAAAUGCCUUCCCGGGGUGAGCUGAGACCUCCCAGGCGGACAGUGAGGACUCAUUUCUGGAUCAACAGAGGAACAAAGCUACGGAAUUAUAAGUAAACCAAAAAAACCACCAAACCAGUCAAUUUUCAAGACGUGGAAGGUGGAUUUUGGACUGCCUGGGGAGUCCGUUCCUUUGAGGACUCUGUAGCUAGAUGAACAAUAACGCAGUUCUCAAGUACUUUUGCGAGGAGGGAGGUGCUCGGUGCUGCUCGCCACGGUCCACAGUGCCUGAAGGGCAUUGGGGUGAUGGAUGGCCGUCCAAGGCGAUGCCUCUGCGCUGGGCAAAUUCCUCUUGAGCGGUUCGGCCCAGAGACAGCUCUACAGAGGGAAUAAUGCACAGGCGUUCUUGAUCUGGAAAGCGCUUCAUUUAAAUCUGGUUGAGAACUGGGACCGUGCAGGAGCGGCCGUCCUGCAGGCAGGGCUGCCUGCGCGGGGAGAAGCCUUGUUGUCCUUGGCGUAACUGUUCUGUGGAUAAACAGCCACGUUUAAUCUUCAGGGCUUUCGCUCAGACACCUUUCAUCAGAACUGCAUUAACUUCUUUUCUUUUUUUAAUGAGAGAGUAUUAAAUCUGAGAGGAUUUGCAGCAGAAGUGAGUUUCAUAUCCCAAUUUCUGCACCCAGGAAAUCAACUACUGAGUCCAAUCGUUGUCAGAAA